UUACCCGUUGAAUUGAUGAAUUUAUUCCCCAUUUGAAUCAGAAGGACUAGAAAUGUAUCAGACAGGCGACGGCUGCAGCGCCUCACCUCAGACAGAAACAACCAAACCCAGAGAUGAAUGGAGAAUCCUUUCACACCAGCUGAUGCCUUGUGGGAAACAGACUGUGACCCGACUGGACCUUCCACCCCGGCAUCCAAAAAUGGUGCUCUACUUUUUGACCGGCGCUAGAAAGAUACAUCUAGAAUGUCAGAGAGGCUGUGAGAAGGGAGAUAUAUUCCCAUAGAAAGACGAUUACUGAAGCAGACAUUCCCUUUUCAACUCAAUGACACAGUUAUGGGUGAACCCGGCGGCCAUGUUGAGUGAGUGUGAGUCCAUUUACACAGUUAUGGGUGAACCCGGCGGCCAUGUUGAGUGAGUGUGAGUCCAUUUACACAGUUAUGGGUGAACCCGGCGGCCAUGUUGAGUGAGUGUAAUUCCACGAGGGGGGGAGAAGGGAAUCGGAGUCCAUUUACACAGUUAUGGGUGAACCCGGCGGCCAUGUUGAGUGAGUGUGAGUCCAUUUACACAGUUAUGGGUGAACCCGGCGGCCAUGUUGAGUGAGUGUAAUUCCACGAGGGGGGAGAAGGGAAUCGGAGUCCAUUUACACAGUUAUGGGUGAACCCGGCGGCCAUGUUGAGUGAGUGUGAGUCCAUUUACACAGUUAUGGGUGAACCCGGCGGCCAUGUUGAGUGAGUGUAAUUCCACGAGGGGGGGGAAGGGAAUCGGAGUCCAUUUACACAGUUAUGGGUGAACCCGGCGGCCAUGUUGAGUGAGUAUAAUUCCACGAGGGGGAGAAGGCGGCCAUGUUGAGUGAGUGUGAGUCCAUUUACACAGUUAUGGGUGAACCCGGCGGCCAUGUUGAGUGAGUGUAAUUCCACGAGGGGGAGAAGGGAGUUGGAGUCCAUUUACUCAGACAGUUAUGGGUGAACCCGGCGGCCAUGUUGAGUGAGUGUAAUUCCACGAGGGGGAGAAGGGAAUCGGAGUCCAUUUACUCAAGACAGGUAAAAUAAUUCAUCUCACUCAAGCACAACAUAUUUUCCAUUUAUCUUUUACAAUAAAUACAGUCUUACAAAGCAAAAAGGUUGUGAACACACAUUCAGUAGAAACACAGACAGGACCCCUAGGUUUAACCAAAUCCCCUAUGAGGGACCCUAUUCCCUACGUAGAGCACUAGAUAGGGAAUAGGGAGCCAUUUCAAAAAUGAACCCUGAUCAACACACCCCUUUUCAAAAACAAAUGUUUGUUCCUCAGAGAGCUGGACAGAGCAGGUAGAAAAACACACCCUCUUCAUAACUAGGUCUACCACACUUUAAAAUGUCUUCUCUCGUCCACAACCAGAAGAACCACAUCAUAACAGGAUCGCUAACCGUUCAAAAAAAAAAAUCAGCCUGCUUCCCCUCUCAUCUUUAAUGAAAACUAUAGCAGCAGUAGUAUUCAAUCUAGACGGAAUGUUACUGAAUCCCACAGGAAGGUGAAUAUGGGGGUCACGACCUGUUAGGAGCAAGAGACAGUGGAGCCCGUUGAACUUUCACAGUAAUAAAAAAUAAAAUCACAAAUGAACCAUGUUUUAUAACUAAAAAUGUGUUGCUACACAACGCAUGCAAAAAUAAAACAUUUCAUUUCAACGGUCACGUGUCUAGUCCAGGUGUGUCGGUGUGUCUAGUCCAGGUGUGUCUCUGUUGGUGUGUCUAGUCCAGGUGUGUCUCUGUUACAGCAUGUCUAGUCCAGGUGUGUCUAGUCCAGGUAUGUCUAGUCCAGGUGUGUCUCUGUUACAGCAUGUCUAGUCCAGGUGUGUCUAGUCCAGGUGUGUCUAGUCCAGGUGUGUCUAGUCCAGGUGUGUGAAGAUAAAAUUCGUUGUAGACGACCCCUCUGGCAUCACAUGACAAAAUGGCCUCCUAUUCCCUUUCUAGUUCACUAGUUCAGACCAUCUAGCUGGUCAAGGUAGUGCACUAGGUAGGGAAUAGGGGCCUGGUCUAAAGUAGUGCACUAGAUAGGGGGCGGAGGGGCACGGGACUGGACCUGGGGCGGAGGGGCACGGGACUGGACCUGGGGCGGAGGGGCACGGGACUGGACCUGGGGCGGAGGAGCUAGGGGUACAGGACUGGACGUGGGGUGGAGGGGCACGGCACAGGACUUGCCCUGGGGCGGAUGGGCACGGCACAGGACUUGCCCUGGGGCGGAGGGGCACGGCACAGGACUGGGCCUGGGGCGGAGGGGCACAGGACUGGACCUGGGGCGGAGGGGCACAGGACUGGACCUGGGGCGGAGGGGCACAGGACUGGACCUGGGCGGAGGGGCACAGGACUGGACCUGGGGCGGAGGGGCACAGGACUGGACCUGGGGCGGAGGGGCACAGGACUGGACCUGGGGCGGAGGGGCACAGGACUGGACCUGGGGCGGAGGGGCACAGGACUGGACCUGGGGCGGAGGGGCACAGGACUGGACCUGGGGCGGAGGGGCACAGGACUGGACCUGGGGCGGAGGGGCACAGGACGGACCUGGGGCGGAGGGGCACAGGACUGGACCUGGGGCGGAGGGGUACAAGACUGGACCUUGGGCGGAGGGGCUAGGGGUACAAGACUGGACCUUGGGCGGAGGGGCUAGGGGUACAAGACUGGACCUUGGGCGGAGGGGCACAAGACUGGACCUUGGGCGGAGGGGCUAGGGGUAUAAGACUGGACCUGGGGUGGAGGGGCUAGGGGUAUAAGACUGGACCUGGGGUGGAGGGGCACAGGACUGGACCUGGGGUGGAGGGGCACAGGACUGGACCUGGGGCGGAGGGGCUAGGCGUACAGGACUGGACCUGGGGCGGAGGGGCUAGGGGUACAAGACUGGACCUGGGGCGGAGGGGCUAGGGGUACAAGACUGGAC
rnacentral:lncRNA from 1 species